GGGGUUGUAGCUCAGUGGUAGAGCACUAACCUAGCAUGUGUGAGGCUCUGGGUUCAAUCCUCAGCACCACA
rnacentral:tRNA from 1 species